rnacentral:rRNA from 1 species
GACGAACGCUGGCGGUGUGCUUAACACAUGCAAGUCGAACGGGAAGGCCCUGCUUUUGUGGGGUGCUCGAGUGGCGAACGGGUGAGUAACACGUGAGUAACCUGCCCUUGACUUUGGGAUAACUUCAGGAAACUGGGGCUAAUACCGGAUAGGAGCUCCUGCUGCAUGGUGGGGGUUGGAAAGUUUCGGCGGUUGGGGAUGGACUCGCGGCUUAUCAGCUUGUUGGUGGGGUAGUGGCUUACCAAGGCUUUGACGGGUAGCCGGCCUGAGAGGGUGACCGGCCACAUUGGGACUGCGAUACGGCCCAGACUCCUACGGUAGGCAGCAGUGGGGAAUAUUGCACAAUGGGCGGAAGCCUGAUGCAGCAACGCCGCGUGCGGGAUGACGGCCUUCGGGUUGUAAACCGCUUUCGCCUGUGACGAAGCGUGAGUGACGGUAAUGGGUAAAGAAGCACCGGCUAACUACGUG